ACAGCGCCUUCAAUCUUUUUUCUUAAUCACUGGGCUUAAAGCGCGUGUAGGCGGCUUAGAAAGUGUCGUGUGAAAUCCCGCGGCUCAACCGCGGAACUGCACGGCAAACUACUUGGCUUGAGGUCGGUAGAGGUGCCUGGAACUCUAGGUGGAGCGGUGAAAUGCGUAGAUAUCUAGAGGAACGCCAGAAGCGAAAGCGGGGCACUGGGCCGAUUCUGACGCUGAGACGCGAAAGCGUGGGGAGCAAACAG
rnacentral:rRNA from 1 species